CUUGGUCAUUUAGAGGAAGUAAAAGUCGUAACAAGGUUUCCGUAGGUGAACCUGCGGAAGGAUCAUUAUCGAAUUUUGAAAGGGGUUGCUGCUGGUCUUUCGGGACAUGUGCACACUUCUCAUCCAUUCUUACACCUGUGCACCCUUUGUAGGCCGGAUUAAUUUCUGGUCUAUGUUUUUCAUACACCCCAUUAAAGUCUUAGAAUGUCAAACACGUUUGUCCUAAAAAAACAAACUUAAUUAUACAACUUUUAACAACGGAUCUCUUGGCUCUCGCAUCGAUGAAGAACGCAGCGAAAUGCGAUAAGUAAUGUGAAUUGCAGAAUUCAGUGAAUCAUCGAAUCUUUGAACGCACCUUGCGCUCCUUGGUAUUCCGAGGAGCAUGCCUGUUUGAGUGUCAUUAAAUUCUCAACUUCACCUGGUUUUACUAUCAGAUGAAGCUUGGACUUUGGAGUGUGCCGGCUUGCAAAAGUCGGCUCCUCUUUAAAUGCAUUAGCGGACCCUUUGUGGAUAGGCUUCGAUUUGAUAAUUAUCUAUGUCGUCGCCGUGAAGCAUGGAUCCGCUUCUAACCGUCCUUUGGACAACUUUUGACAUUUUGACCUCAAAUCAGGUAGGACUACCCGCUGAACUUAAGCAUAUCAAUAAGCGGAGGA
rnacentral:rRNA from 1 species